UGGCGGACGGGUGAGUAACACGUUGGUGACCUGCCCCGAGAUGAGGGAUAACUCCUUGAAAGAGGAGCUAAUACCUCAGAUGUCUGAACUGUUAGAGGGUCCAGACUAAAGCUAUGGCGUCUGGGGAGGGGCCUGCGGGCUAUCAGCUAGUUGGUGGGGUAAGAGCCUACCAAGGCGAAGACGGCUAGGGGGCGUGAGAGCGUGACCCCCCACAAGGGAACUGAGAGACGGUCCCUACUCCUACGGGAGGCAGCAGUGAGGAAUAUUGAGCAAUGGGCGCAAGCCUGACUCAGCAACGCCGCGUGGAUGAAGAAGGCCUUCGGGUUGUAAAAUCCUUUUCUGAGGGAAGAUAAUGACGGUACCUCAGGAAUAAGUUCCGGCUAACUACGUGCCAGCAGCCGCGGUAAU
rnacentral:rRNA from 1 species